rnacentral:rRNA from 1 species
GAUGAACGCUGGCGGCGUGCCUAAUACAUGCAAGUCGAUCGAACAGACGAGGAGCUUGCUCCUCUGACGUUAGCGGCGGACGGGUGAGUAACACGUGGAUAACCUACCUAUAAGACUGGGAUAACUUCGGGAAACCGAAGCUAAUACCGGAUAAUAUAUUGAACCGCAUGGUUCAAUAGUGAAAGACGGUUUUGCUGUCACUUAUAGAUGGAUCCGCGCCGCAUUAGCUAGUUGGUAAGGUAACGGCUUACCAAGGCAACGAUGCGUAGCCGACCUGAGAGGGUGAUCGGCCACACUGGAACUGAGACACGGUCCAGACUCCUACGGGAGGCAGCAGUAGGGAAUCUUCCGCAAUGGGCGAAAGCCUGACGGAGCAACGCCGCGUGAGUGAUGAAGGUCUUCGGAUCGUAAAACUCUGUUAUUAGGGAAGAACAAAUGUGUAAGUAACUAUGCACGUCUUGACGGUACCUAAUCAGAAAGCCACGGCUAACUACGUG